UCUGCCACCGAGUUCCUCCGCGCUAACCAUAGGCGCUACUUAAAUGCCACCGCACGCCCUCUUACAGAAUAUCCUUGUAACUAGCAACUGCCUUCUACCGUCAUGUUCGUGUUACGUGCCAUCGUGUAUAUUGGCGUGACGAUUUAAAAAGUUCUUUAUGAAGAAGGAGAGAGAGAGAGAGAGUAUUAUAUAUAUAUACAUAAGUAUAUCUGCACAUUUUUUAACGUAACAAUCACUUUUGACAGCCUUAACAACUUCGGUAAAAACAAAUGAAUCACACUGCAGAGAUAUACCAAGGACCCAAGGGAUUUCAUGCCUGAAAUUUAUUAUACAGAUAACUUGAGUCCUCAAACGGUAAUUCCUACGUCUUCUGAACAUAUGUAAGAGAUUAGUGACUCGUCCUAUAGAAAUACUGUUAGCCUAACCUUAAAUCUUAAAAUUGUGUCGUUUGAAUGAUUGUGAAAAUUUGAAAAGAAACAGUCUUUCUUUGGAACUUCAUUACACGAUUGAUACCCAUUUACGCUCUGUUAUGUCAUGACUGUACCUUAUACCUCCUGCAGACAUACCUUUGAACUCUGUUUGCAUAUUAAUAAUUUAACGUCUGUCAUCGUAGUUUCAUCUGUGUCAAAGUAUAUGUAGGGAAUAACGAGUAAUAACGAGCGAACAAAUAUUUAGAAUUUAUUGUCAUCCCACUAUUGCAGCACACGACUGCAAUCAAUACGGAAUGACGUUUUGACAAGGUCAAUACUUUUGCCGAUGUUUAUUUUUUCACAGCUGGACAUAAUAAUCGCUUAUACUUCGUCGUAUAAGGAUAUUACGGGGUCGGGGGUCAGUGGAGGUCGAUGAAAAAUUUCAGAACACUGCAUGAGACUAGUAACGUAGUCUAGACGAGGGAGUGUGGAAAUUAAUAGGAAAAAUAAAUAAAUAAACAAAAUUUCUAAAACCAACACGUACCGCCCUCUUGAAUCAAGAUCGCGGUCUCGGAGAGGAGCGGGAGGGAGAAGUUUGAAGAUUGGAAAAUCACCAGGCCGUCUUGAGAAUUAAAAAAAAAAGAGGACAUUCAUCACUACAGACAAAUAUCCAGAGUAUUGCUGACUGGCGAGUAGCAUUUUUCCCGAAUAGAUUCCCUUUCCUCGGUCUUUAUCAUCUUCUAUUUAUCAGGGGUCUUUCGAGUUCGCAUCAUCAUCAUUAACACCAACGCGCAAGGCAGUGCUGUGAGCGGCGACGAAGUGCGGAGGAACCAGAGAAAUUCCAGGCUCUGAUUGGUCGAGGAAGGUGUAUGUAUCUGGAAAACGUUGACCAAUGAUAUUCCAGCGACCCACUGGGUAAUCCGUUUACGCCUUUCGAACUUUGAUAAUUCGUAUUAUACUUCGUCUUACGGUAAUAUUACGAUUAAUUAACCUAUCAAAAUUAAUGACUACUCAAAAUUCUAUCAACAUCCUUAAUAUUUAAUUAUUUGAAAAUCCAGAUCUUUGACCCGGCAUGCAUAAUACCUCUUCUGGAUUGAAUAGAAAUCCGUAUUAUAUCUAAAUGUAAAAGACGAAAAAUACAAAAAAUACGAAAAUUACGUAAAACACUCGUAUACAGGAUAGAAACAAUCAUCUAUUGGAAUACUACGUAUACCAUACUGCAACAGCUGGUGAUACCAAUCUGAUGUCUGUUACCAGAAUCUAUGAAACAACAAAUUUGUUACAAAUCAACGAGAGCAUCGAUCACGUGAAGGUCUAAUAUCCGUUAUCAUUGAUUUUCAAUAAAAAUAUAAUAUCAAGUAUGGAUAACCCAACGAUAGCUUUCACUUUUAUGUAUAAACAUGCAAUACUUAGUUCGCAUGUUUACAGCAUUGAUAAAUUCCUUCGGAACAACUGAUUCAUAAUACUAUAACCCUAUUAAAAGUAUAAUAAAAACUUCGAAGACUGAUUUUCAAUUGGCACUGAAUAAUUGUAUUUAUUCGUAAUACAAGAAAAAUAAUGAAUCAAACCUUAUAUAUCAAUUGGUCCAUUGAGCAUGACACGAUGCACUCCCGUCGACAAAGUUCAAUAAUCCGUGGAAUGUUUCUGAUUGGUCUGUAUAAUGUUGUAUACACGGUUGAUUAGAACUAUAAAUAAUUGCAAGGGUCCGUGAAGCGCGAAGACUGUAAGGAAGAGUUAAGGAAGACAAAGACGAAGAACAAGAAAAUGAUUCAUUGACAGGGAAAGCCGUGACGCAUGGUCGUAGUUUAUCUCUAGCCCCUUGACGGAUGGAAAUGAAUACACAGUUUGCAUCGUUCCUAAUUAUGGCCAAAGCUGUAGAUAUAUAUACACAAACACAAACACAUAUACGUAGACACGAGAUAAUAAUAGAAUAAUAAAAUUAAUAACGUUCUCCCGUUGAAGGUUAGUACUUCGUAUAUCUCGAGUAAGGUUAUGUCCCAAUAACUCUUGCGGUACACUAGACACUAUGCACGAACUAGAUCGCACUAACAAUAAGUAAAGUACGGUAGAAAUAAACGUUUCAUAACAUAGUUUCGACCCUGAUCUUAGUACGAUAAACCACACGAGAAUCUGCCAGCCGAUAAUUAUGCUCCUAGCAGGGCGGCCACGCGUCGUUAAUAAUACCAACGUAAUCUCGAGCUAGCGCUCCCUUCUCGUUAGAGUUCCUAGUUUUUUAAAAAUCCCGCCAACUCUUAGUAUGAAAUAUGGACUCUAACGAAAAAUGUCAUACGAAUGUAUGCAAUAUAUUAGCUUAUCGAAUUUCAAUUACGAUUAUUAGGAUGAUGCCUAACCCUGACCGCGGUUACGCGAACCUACAGUAUCUAUAGGCGUGAUAACGUGAGUAUCCUAAAACGUCGUAAACCGCAUUUUAGUAUAUUUACAUUAUAGAUGUCUCCUUAUCUCACGAUUCACUACUCGAGUCAGUCAUGGAUACUACGCGAAGAAAGGAAGGCACGCAGAAAUAAAGAAAGAAUAAAUGAGGCGAGUAGAGAACUUUAAAAGCACAUAUUAAUAAACAAAUUAAUAAUCUUCCUA